GCUGGCGGCAGGCUUAACACAUGCAAGUCGAGCGGGGGAAAGUAGCUUGCUACUGGACCUAGCGGCGGACGGGUGAGUAAUGCUUAGGAAUCUGCCUAUUAGUGGGGGACAACAUUCCGAAAGGAAUGCUAAUACCGCAUACGUCCUACGGGAGAAAGCAGGGGACCUUCGGGCCUUGCGCUAAUAGAUGAGCCUAAGUCGGAUUAGCUAGUUGGUGGGGUAAAGGCCUACCAAGGCGACGAUCUGUAGCGGGUCUGAGAGGAUGAUCCGCCACACUGGGACUGAGACACGGCCCAGACUCCUACGGGAGGCAGCAGUGGGGAAUAUUGGACAAUGGGGGGAACCCUGAUCCAGCCAUGCCGCGUGUGUGAAGAAGGCCUUAUGGUUGUAAAGCACUUUAAGCGAGGAGGAGGCUACUAGUAUUAAUACUACUGGAUAGUGGACGUUACUCGCAGAAUAAGCACCGGCUAACUCUGUGCCAGCAGCCGCGGUAAUACAGAGGGUGCGAGCGUUAAUCGGAUUUACUGGGCGUAAAGCGUGCGUAGGCGGCCAUUUAAGUCAAAUGUGAAAUCCCCGAGCUUAACUUGGGAAUUGCAUUCGAUACUGGAUGGCUAGAGUAUGGGA
rnacentral:rRNA from 1 species